GGUUAAGCGACUAAGCGUACACGGUGGAUGCCCUGGCAGUCAGAGGCGAUGAAGGACGUGCUAAUCUGCGAUAAGCGCCGGUAAGGUGAUAUGAACCGUUAUAACCGGCGAUUUCCGAAUGGGGAAACCCAGUGUGACUCGUCACACUAUCAUUAACUGAAUCCAUAGGUUAAUGAGGCGAACCGGGGGAACUGAAACAUCUAAGUACCCCGAGGAAAAGAAAUCAACCGAGAUUCCCCCAGUAGCGGCGAGCGAACGGGGAGGAGCCCAGAGCCUGAAUCAGCAUGUGUGUUAGUGGAAGCGUCUGGAAAGGCGCGCGAUACAGGGUGACAGCCCCGUACACAAAAGCGCAUGUGCUGUGAGCUCGAUGAGUAGGGCGGGACACGUGGUAUCCUGUCUGAAUAUGGGGGGACCAUCCUCCAAGGCUAAAUACUCCUGACUGACCGAUAGUGAACCAGUACCGUGAGGGAAAGGCGAAAAGAACCCCGGCGA
rnacentral:rRNA from 1 species